rnacentral:tRNA from 1 species
GCCGCAGUGCCAGAGCGGUCGAAUGGCACGGUCUCGAAAUCCGUUGGUCCCUUCACUGGGCACGGGGGUUCGAAUCCCUCCUGCGGCG